AAAAUGACUCUCGGCAACGGAUAUCUCGGCUCUUGCAUCGAUGAAGAACGUAGCGAAAUGCGAUACUUGGUGUGAAUUGCAGAAUCCCGUGAACCAUCGAGUCUUUGAACGCAAGUUGCGCCCGAAGCCAUUUGGUUGAGGGCACGCCUGCCUGGGUGUCGUGA
rnacentral:rRNA from 2 species